rnacentral:rRNA from 1 species
CUAGUACGGCGAGUGAAGCGGCAACAGCUCAAAUUUGAAAUCUGGCCCUAGCGGUCCGAGUUGUAAUUUGUAGAGGAUGCUUUUGGUGAGGUGCCUUCCGAGUUCCCUGGAACGGGACGCCGGAGAGGGUGAGAGCCCCGUACGGUUGGACGCCAAACCUCUGUAUAGCUCCUUCGACGAGUCGAGUAGUUUGGGAAUGCUGCUCUAAAUGGGAGGUAAAUUUCUUCUAAAGCUAAAUACCGGCCAGAGACCGAUAGCGCACAAGUAGAGUGAUCGAAAGAUGAAAAGCACUUUGAAAAGAGGGUUAAAUAGCACGUGAAAUUGUUGAAAGGGAAGCGUUUGCGACCAGACUUUUUCCAGGCGGAUCAUCCGGCGUUCUCGCCGGUGCACUCCGCCUGGUUGAGGCCAGCAUCGGUUUCCUUAGGGGGAUAAAGGCCUGGGGAACGUAGCUCCUUCGGGAGUGUUAUAGCCCCUGGCGUAAUACCCCUCGGGGGACCGAGGAACGCGCUCUGCAAGGAUGCUGGCGUAAUGGUCGUCAACGACCCGUCUUGAAACACGGACCAAGGAGUCGAACAUUUGUGCGAGUGUUUGGGUGUCAAACCCUCACGCGUAAUGAAAGUGAACGGAGGUGAGAGCCCUUACGGGUGCAUCAUCGACCGAUCCUGAUGUCUUCGGAUGGAUUUGAGUAAGAGCAUAACUGUUCGGACCCGAAAGAUGGUGAACUAUGCGUGGAUAGGGUGAAGCCAGAGGAAACUCUGGUGGAGGCUCGCAGCGGUUCUGACGUGCAAAUCGAUCGUCAAAUCUGCGCAUGGGGGCGAAAGACUUAUCGAACCAUCUAGUAGCUGGUUACCGCCGAAGUUCCCCUCAGGA